rnacentral:lncRNA from 1 species
AUUUUUUUUUCAUUUUCCUUAAUUAACACCAUUAGAGAAAAAUCACAAAAAUAUCAAAUUAAUUUUUUUCUUCAUUAAACACCAUCUCAACCUUCAAUUCAACUCUUUCAACGUUUUCAACCACCAAAUUCACCCUUGAAGAUGUAAACAUAAAGAAAGAAUAGAGAAGGAACAAUGAACUUUAAAAAUAAAAGUUACAAAAAUUUCUUUCAAUUUUGUUAUUCUUCGAACUGAAUUAAUGAAGCAAUUUAAUGUCUUCAAUUUCUUCGUUGGAGAAUGUAUUAAUGGAAAAAAAUGAAAAAAAAUGGAGGAAAGUAUUGUUGGAGGGUGUGUUUGAGGUUGUUAAUGAAGGAAUUAAUUGUUGUAGAAAAUGG